rnacentral:rRNA from 1 species
CAAUAGCGUAUAUUUAAGUUGUUGCAGUUAAAAAGCUCGUAGUUGGAUUUCGGAUGGGACUUGCCGGUCCGUCGUUUCGAUGUGCACUGGCCAGUCCUAUCUUGUUGUCGGGGACUAGCUCCUGGGCUUCACUGUCCGGGACUAGGAGCUGACGAGGUUACUUUGAGUAAAUUAGAGUGUUCAAAGCAAGCCUACGCUCUGAAUAUAUUAGCAUGGAAUAACACGAUAGGACUCUGGCUUAUCUUGUUGGUCUGUGAGACCAGAGUAAUGAUUAAGAGGGACAGUCGGGGACAUUCGCAUUUCAUUGUCAGAGGUGAAAUUCUUGGAUUUAUGAAAGACGAACUUCUGCGAAAGCAUUUGUCAAGGAUGUUUUCAUUAA